rnacentral:tRNA from 1 species
GCCCGGGUGGCUCAGUCGGUUAAGCGUCCGACUUCAGCUCAGGUCAUGAUCUCACAGUCCGUGGGUUCGAGCCCCACGUCGGGCU